UAUGUGAUCGUCUCUCGCAUAUCAAUAAGCGGAGGAAAAGAAACUAACGAGGAUUCCCCUAGUAACGGCGAGUGAAGCGGGAAGAGCUCAAAUUUGAAAUCUUAAAGGGUUUCCCUUUACGAAUUGUAGUUUAAAGAAGUGUUUUCUGUUGAGGUUUUGGUAAAAGUUCUUUGGAAUAGGACAUCAUAGAGGGUGAGAAUCCCGUAUUUGACCUUUACUUUCAACUUUGUGAUACACUUUCAAAGAGUCGGAUUGUUUGGGAAUGCAGUCCGAAAUGGGUGGUAAAUUUCAUCUAAAGCUAAAUAUUGGCGAGAGACCGAUAGCGAACAAGUACCGUGAGGGAAAGAUGAAAAGAACUUUGAAAAGAGAGUUAAACAGUACGUGAAAUUGUCAAAAGGGAAGCGUUUGACACCAGUGUUGUUUUUCUGAAAAUCAAUUAAAGAACUGCUUAUGCUAAGUUGUUUAGACUUUAUCAGCUAUCUGUUUAGUUUUGAGCUUUUCUUUAGUGCACUUUUCAGUUAACAAGUCAACAUCAAUUUCUUUUGCUGUAAAAAAGCUUGAGGAAGGUGGCUUGAGAUUCGUCUUAAGUGUUUAUAGCCUCUUGCCUAUGCAGUCGGAGAGAUUGAGGUCUGCAGCGUAGAUCCUUCGGGGCUAAAUGCAUUUGUGCUAAGUUAUAGCAUUUUAUAGACAACUUGUUGACUAUGAUUUGUCUUGUAGCUUACUCGCUUAUGUUAUUUUACCUACGCUUAGGAUGUUGAAGACUCUACAGAGAU
rnacentral:rRNA from 1 species